CCCUCUUUAUCAAAAACAUCUCUUUUUCUUUAUCAUUUAACCUCUCACCUCCCCAAUCAUUAAUUUAAAUCCCCCCACUAUUUUCACUCUCCAAACCUAGCAUAAUCAUUACUUUCUUAAUUCCAACCUCCAAUCAACCCUUUCAUCACAACCUCACUCUCUCUCCAUAAUUCUUUUACAAUUUUAAUUUUAACUAAAAAACCUUAAAUUUUUUAUCAACACCACAACACCCCCUACACUUUCAUAUUUUUCAUUUUAAUUUAAUUUACCAUUUAUUUUUAUUUUAAUUUUCAAAAUAUUUUCUUCCCCUCAUAUCAAAAUUUAAUUAACUUUUCAUUUUUUAUAACAUUCAUUAAUCAAUAUUUCAUCCUCAUUUUUCCAUAAUAACAUUAAAUUACCUCCCCCAUAACACCCUAAUUUUUUUCCACACUUCUUAUCCAUAAUCAACUUUCCCACCUCCAUCUUCCAUUAAACUUUAAUUUUCCUCUACAACCUACAUUUUUCCCUCUCUUCCACCCUUCAAACUUUACCUCAUCUCACUUCACACCCG
rnacentral:rRNA from 1 species